AUCUACUGCCCGUCUUCUUUCCACUAGGCCUACACCAGGGGUGCUCUGAGCCAGCAGACAACUGGGAACACGGGAGAUGAGGUGUCUACAGUCUAAGAAAGGUGGUCUUUAUCACUAAUCUUUGUGUCAAGUCAUUGGGUGCCCCGCACCUUAUGUGACAGAAAGCUACAACUGACACGAAUUCUGAAAGCAAAAGCCAGUGGGUGCUAAUGUCGAUUAUGGGCUAAAAAUCUCACAGUGGAGGGGAUUCCUUUGUUCGUUUCAUUAUCCUCCCCUUAAAGAACAAAGCUGAGGCCGUCUUUAUCUAUCCAGCCUCUCUGUUCCUGGCCUUCAGUCUACUCAUGACUUGCAAGAGAAAAAAAAAAAAAGACAGCACCAAACCAGACUAAACAAACAAACAGUGAAUACACCAACCGACACCGCAGCCCCGGGGCUCUCUCUCUGGUCCCGUGAACAUUUAUGACAAUUUACUUUGGAAAACAAGAGCCACUGUGGAGACCCAGCUCUACCUUGUGCUCCAGGCUGGAGUCUUUAAACAUCAGUGAGAAUGGCUUGAUAUGCUCUCUUCGCAAUUUAUCGCCACUCCGCAAGUCGAUGCCUCUCAACUUGGCCCACGGGCUAGACCAGGAUCAGAUGACGGAGCCAUCAGAUGGCAGCCUGCGGGAACCCGAACCCUUCAUGUGUCCCUGAGCCUCAGAGACCUGAGCUCAAGAGCCAUCACCUCAUCUACAGCUGGGUCAGACCCUUUGACUCUUGAGCCAGAGUCAGGAGCUUUGAGCUUCUGGAGAACUUCUAGCCCGUUCCAUACGGAAUCUUCCUAUGGUACUUUUGGACUCUUCAUUUUAACCUUCAUGGAGUGAAAAUGUUGGGAGUGAUCGACUCUGGUCUGUAAGCAGACCUUCAAAAAACCAGCAGUGCCUGUUUCUUCCUGGCUGCCUGCACUACCAGCCCCUUCUGUAAGGCAGAGACCAGUGAAAUCAUCUUUCAGAGCUUUCCUAACUCCCCUCCCCCAUUUCUAUUGGCUGUGUGGCUCAUUCAAAUAAAAGAGAAA